rnacentral:rRNA from 1 species
CCUACGGGAGGCAGCAGUGGGGAAUUUUCCGCAAUGGGCGAAAGCCUGACGGAGCAACGCCGCGUGAGGGAUGAAGGCCUCUGGGCUGUAAACCUCUUUUCUCAAGGAAGAAGAUCUGACGGUACUGAGA